UACGUAGGGCGCAAGCGUUGUCCGGAAUUAUUGGGCGUAAAGAGCUCGUAGGCGGCUUGUCGCGUCUGCUGUGAAAUCCCGAGGCUCAACCUCGGGCUUGCAGUGGGUACGGGCAGACUAGAGUGCGGUAGGGGAGACUGGAAUUCCUGGUGUAGCGGUGGAAUGCGCAGAUAUCAGGAGGAACACCGAUGGCGAAGGCAGGUCUCUGGGCCGCAACUGACGCUGAGGAGCGAAAGCAUGGGGAGCGAACAGG
rnacentral:rRNA from 1 species